UUAGGAUUUUUUUAUGCAUUUUUGCAGGAGGUUACAGUUACCAAUUUUCAUGUCUAACCAAUAAAAUUAGAAAUUUUGUCCAGAAAAUUAUUUUCAUGUUACAUUAUUUUGCAAAGUUAAGAGUUUUGAAAGAAAUUCUAAUGAAAAGUUAAAGCUGUUUUCCUAUUUUGCAUAAACAGGGAUAGUGCAAUAUUGUUAUGGUGAAUGUGAG